GACGAACGCUGGCGGCGUGCUUAACACAUGCAAGUCGAACGGACUACUUUGCUUCGGUAAGGUGGUUAGUGGCGAACGGGUGAGUAACGCGUAGACAACCUACCUCUUAGAUGGGGACAACAUCGCGAAAGCGGUGCUAAUACCGAAUGAAGUGACUUUCCUGCAUGGGAGAGAUACUAAAGGUGGCCUCUAUUUAUAAGCUACCACUGAGAGAUGGGUCUGCGUCUGAUUAGCUAGUUGGCGGGGUAAUGGCCCACCAAGGCGACGAUCAGGAGCCCGUCGGAGAGGAUGAACGGCCACAUUGGGACUGAGACACGGCCCAAACUCCGACGGGAGGCAGCAGUGGGGAAUCUUCCGCAAUGGACGAAAGUCUGACGGAGCAACGCCGCGUGAGUGAAGAAGGUUUUCGGAUCGUAAAGCUCUGUUGUUUGAGACGAAUGUGCCUGUUUCAAAUAGGGACAGGUAAUGACGGUAUUAAACGAGAAAGCCACGGCUAACUACGUGCCAGCAGCCGCGGUAA
rnacentral:rRNA from 1 species